UACGUAGGUGGCAAGCGUUGUCCGGAUUUACUGGGCGUAAAGGGCGUGCAGGCGGUCUGUUAAGUGCAGGGUGAAAGCUCCCGGCUCAACUGGGAGAGGUCCUUGCAUACUGGCGGACUUGAGGGGGGUAGAGGAAAGUGGAAUUCCCGGUGUAGUGGUGAUAUGCGUAGAUAUCGGGAGGAACACCAGUAGCGAAGGCGGCACUCUGGGCCGGAACUGACGCUGAGGAGCGAAAGCGUGGGGAGCGAACAGG
rnacentral:rRNA from 1 species